UACAGAGGUCUCAAGCGUUGUUCGGAUUCAUUGGGCGUAAAGGGUGUGUAGGUGGCGCGGUAAGUCGGGUGUGAAAUCUCGGAGCUUAACUCCGAAACUGCAUUCGAUACUGCCGUGCUUGAGGACUGGAGAGGAGACUGGAAUUUACGGUGUAGCGGUGAAAUGCGUAGAUAUCUGGAGGAAUACCGGUGGCGAAGGCGGCAUCCUGGACCGGCAUUGACGCUGAGGAGCGAAAGCUAGGGGAGCAAACGGGG
rnacentral:rRNA from 1 species